CCUACGGGUGGCAGCAGUGGGGAAUAUUGGACAAUGGGCGAAAGCCUGAUCCAGCCAUGCCGCGUGUGUGAAGAAGGCCUUCGGGUUGUAAAGCACUUUCAGUGGGGAAGAAAGCCUUGGGGCUAAUACCCUCGAGGAAGGACAUCACCCACAGAAGAAGCACCGGCUAACUCCGUGCCAGCAGCCGCGGUAAUACGGAGGGUGCGAGCGUUAAUCGGAAUUACUGGGCGUAAAGCGCGCGUAGGCGGUCUGAUAAGCCGGUUGUGAAAGCCCCGGGCUCAACCUGGGAACGGCAUCCGGAACUGUCAGGCUAGAGUGCAGGAGAGGAAGGUAGAAUUCCCGGUGUAUCGGUGAAAUGCGUAGAGAUCGGGAGGAAUACCAGUGGCGAAGGCGGCCUUCUGGACUGACACUGACGCUGAGGUGCGAAAGCGUGGGUAGCAAACAGGAUUAGAUACCCGAGUGUC
rnacentral:rRNA from 1 species